rnacentral:rRNA from 1 species
UACGUAGGGUGCAAGCGUUGUCCGGAAUUAUUGGGCGUAAAGGGCUCGUAGGCGGUCCAUCGCGUCGGGAGUGAAAAGCUGGGGCUCAACCCCAGUCCUGCUUUCGAUACGGGUGGACUAGAGGUAUGCAGGGGAGAACGGAAUUCCUGGUGUAGCGGUGAAAUGCGCAGAUAUCAGGAGGAACACCGGUGGCGAAGGCGGCCCUCUGGGUCGACCCUGACGCUGAGGCGCGAAAGCGUGGGGAGCGAACAGG